rnacentral:rRNA from 1 species
UACGUAGGGUGCAAGCGUUAAUCGGAAUUACUGGGCGUAAAGCGUGCGUAGGUGGUUCGUUAAGUCUGUCGUGAAAGCCCCGGGCUCAACCUGGGAAUGGCGAUGGAUACUGGCGGGCUAGAGUGCGGUAGAGGAGAGUGGAAUUCCCGGUGUAGCAGUGAAAUGCGUAGAGAUCGGGAGGAACAUCAGUUGCGAAGGCGGCUCUCUGGACCAGCACUGACACUGAGGCACGAAAGCGUGGGGAGCAAACAGG